rnacentral:tRNA from 1 species
GGAAUAAAUUUAUUAUGAAUUUCUAACUCAUAAAUUAAUAAUUUAAUUUAUUAUUAUUCCU